rnacentral:tRNA from 2 species
GCGGAUAUGGACUAAUGGCAAAUUGUCUGCCUUCCAAGCAGAAGAUGAGGGUUCGAUUCCCUCUAUCCGCU